rnacentral:lncRNA from 1 species
AUAAAAUCCAGAAUUAAAGUUUCUAAUUCUAUUUUCAGGCAUUCCUUAUCAUUAACAAUAUUUUCAAUUAUUUUCUCUAGAGCUCUCUUUUCAUUUUUCAUUAUGUUAACUUGAUACUGCAUUUUUAUAGCCUCACCGUGUAGCUCUUGAAAAGCAUCAAGCAAUUGAUAAUAUCUGUCCUCAAUAGACUCGUCAUCAAGGUUGCCUUCACUGUUGUCUGAACACACUAAACCAGCCAUUAAGCACAGAUUGGUCUCCUCUUUCAAGCUUUCAUCAGAGUCACUUGAGGAGCAGUUUGAGUCACUAUCCUCCCAGACUAUAUAGGCAUUCUUCUAUCUGCUCUUUCUGUUGUCUUCACUAGUCCUGUCAUCUAGCUUUUGCCUCAUCUUUACGACAUGACAUUCAAGUUUGAUAUGGCCUACUUUGCCACAUUCAUAGCAUGUUGGUGGUGCAUCAACUUUGCUUUUCUUCCUGUUUUCUCUAGAGUUGCCUGCAAAAUCAGAACUAGAUUUGUUUUUAGAUUUCAUGAAUCUUGAAAAUCUUUGUACCAUUAAGUUCAUUACAUCCAACUUUGGAUUUUUUUUAUUCUGAAUCAGCCUCCUCAAUGUGCCUUCUUGAACUUGUUGUUUUGAGGGCUAUUGUGUGCUUUUAUUCACUAUCUCCCUCCUCUCUCAAUCUGCUAAGCUCAAGCUCAUGUUCCCUCAAUUUUCCAAAUAAUGUUGCCAUGUUAAUAAAUGUCAAAUCUCUAGAUUC